CCUAGCAAACCGCGUCGAGGGACGCGGGGUGCCAGGAGAGGCCGCGGCGGACGGCGUGGUCGUCCCCAAUGGCGAGGUCGCGGAAUUUGGCGUGGAAGGGGGCGUGGAAGAGGGCGUGGCCAAGUUGUUAUCAAUAUAUUUACAAGGGACUAAGGAGGUUAGAAAGUCUUAACUAAAGAG